rnacentral:lncRNA from 1 species
CUCAAAUUAUAAUAACUAAAUCCGAACCAUUAUAAUAUUUAGAAUUAAAUUUACAAAUACCAAGAUUACUUUUUGUCAUAAAUUGAGAAAAUGCAACUUUCAGACAUAGAAGCUUUUUGAGGAGGGUGAGAUGUAACUUUGUUUUAGUGUAACUUAAAAGGACUAUACUUUUUAAGUCAAAAUAUGACAAAAUGGUAUUUUUACCUUCACGGCCGUCCUAAACCCCUUUUCGUCACUAUUGACUAUUUGACACAACAUCAACAAAUCAUAAUGCGGCGCAAACGUCACGCAUCAGGCUAAUUUUUUCACAAAUUACUACUUUUACGGCAUACUUUUAUGGGGCAAAAAUAAUUUUACCCUACAAAAAGAAAAAAAGUUCAGGUAUAGCUCCGUUAAGCAAGUUACCCGUGUCACUGGCCUUGGCCCCUCCACUGCUGCCUUUUACCCACGUGACCUGAGCCCGUGGACCCAGUUGGAUCUUCUCAUCCAUCUGAGGCUGCACACAGAAAAACACAAGCAAUAAAGCAGCGUAGCCAUCAACAGUGUGUAGCAGUACCUAAAGGAUCCUGUAGAGGGCUCAUGUGCCAUAUUCGACCAUAACAGUGUUAGGACAAGUUGUGCAAAUGUGGUGGUGCAGUAUGCAGAAAUAUGUUUUAUCUUUAUAGAAAAAACUCAGUUUGCAUAAAACCGUUCAUUUGACUGUUCAUUUGUACUUUAUGAGUACCAGAACAGUUGACAUUUUUGUUUCAGCUUUCACAAAGAUGAAGUAUGUCUGACCUUGGAGAUCUUUGGGAUCUUUGUGGGGUCGAUAGUCCUGCUGUUCUUUGUCAUGGGCACAGUGUUCCAGGUCUCAUCUCUCUGCAUGCGCUGGUCAGAUCGGAGGCAAGAAGAUAGUAAUAAAGCAGGAGUUAGACAGUACAGAGAGAACUUGAUCAGUCUGCAGGACAUACACAAUCUGCUCAUGGCUACAGACAAGUUGGGAACUGUCAACACAGUAGAAGGUGCAAGGUUCACCAAAACAAACCUUGCUGGAGGUCAGU